GAUGAAGAACGUAGCGAAAUGCGAUACGUAAUGUGAAUUGCAGAAUUCAGUGAAUCAUCGAAUCUUUGAACGCAUAUUGCGCUCUCUGGUAUUCCGGAGAGCAUGCUUGUUUGAGUAUCAGUAAACACCUCAACUCCCUUUUCUUUUUUGAAAUUGGAGCUGGACUUGAGUGAUCCCAACGCUUUCUUCCAAGAAAGUGGCGGGUUGCUUGAAAUGCAGGUGCAGCUGAACUUUUCUCUGAGCUAUAAGCAUAUCUAUUUAGUCUGCCUAAAAAACAGAUCAUUACCUUUGCUGCAGCUAACAUAAAGGAGACUAGUUCUUGUGCUGACUGAUGCAGGAUUCACAGAGACAGCUUCGGCUGACUUUGUAAACUCGAUCUCAAAUCAAGUAAGACUACCCGCUGAACUUAAGCAUAUCAAUAAGCGGAGGA
rnacentral:misc_RNA from 1 species